rnacentral:rRNA from 1 species
AAAUACUAGACACUGAAAGCCCAACCCUCUCCUCCUCUCAUCUCUUCUUCCUCCAGUCCCCCGAUCUCCGCAGCAGUCGCGAGGGUUUAGAGCUCGUAGGGUUCAAGCCUUGCGUUGUGCACUGUGCUGUGGUGCCAGGUAAGUUGUGGACUUGGCGGGUCUGGUCGCGUGCAGUGCGCCGUCCCACUCCCAUGGCGGCGCCGUGGUGGGCGGCGGCGCUGGUGACGCUGGGCGUCGUGGGGUUGGCGGCGGGUCCCCGGGGUUGCGCCGCGCAGCCGGUGGUGCUGACCAGCUACGGCCAGCCCAAGCUCUCGCUCAGGCCCUACGACUGGACCUACCUCCGCGUUGACUUGCCGGCAUCAUUUUCUUCUAUCACCAUGAACUUUGCAACCGACAGAGAUAUUCCCAGGGAGCACUUAAAAGAUCUUCCGAAAAGUGAUCUUGCUAUCAUCUGUUUGAUGAUUGCCAACCCUCCUAUUCCUGAUACAUCUGAUUAUUAUUUGGACAAUUUAUUAUCAAACUUUCUUGCUGUUGGAUCUUUUGGCAAUACGAAUAACCAAUCAAAUCUGGCUCAGUGCAUACCAUUUCAGAAGAACACAACGAUAGUGUUAACAAAUGGCCAGAUAUUGCCAGGGAUUUGGUACAUUGGUUACUUUAAUGGCCUUGGACCUGCUCGCACACAAUCAAAGAUGAUUAGCCGAGGGAGAGCACUAUCAGUGAGCACUAGCAUUACGGUAGAAGGAUGUCCUACUUCAGCACUAUGGGGACCCUACUGCAACCAAACUAUUGAAACUAUUGGUUGUUCUCAGUUUUCAAGAUAUAACAACUCAAGAGAUCUUCUAGGUCUGACUAUCAACACCCGGAAAAUAUUGAAAACUAAAGAAAAUACUAGACGUACCAGCUUCUUAUCAAGGUCGAACCAUCCAAUAGGACAUCAACUCGAGUCCAAUGGUACUAGCGUAGUGGGAGUGGAGAAUUUGAUCACUUGUGCCAUUUCAAAUGACUCACUAUGCCUCAGGCAAGGCGAUAUAAAGUUUUACUUCUUGGAUAUAGUCAACCAAGCACUGCAAUUUGAAAUUACAGCUGCAAAUUUUAGAUUAUCCCAAAGUGCAUCCUUAAUCUGUUAUCUGCGCUGCAAUGCCUUACCUCAGAGAGAUUUGCACGAUUAUUCAGGUGAUAUUAGCAGUGCUCCCUUGGUUAUAAAGCUGCCAAAUAUUGGACGAUGGUAUAUCGCAAUUGAGAUUCUGAACAAAACACAGAUGAGAAAUACAACCGCACCUAUGCUGGAUACAAUUUGUUUCUCAUUUGAUUGGCAAGUAACUGGAUGUCUGAAUGGAAAAACUGGAACCGACUGCUCAUGGGAAGCAUAUGUGCUACAGAGAGUUCCUAAAAGAAAUCCUUCUGUUCCUUUUGAGUCAUAUUAUGUUCCUACUGAUGAGGGGGCAUUGCUGGAAUAUAGUCACUUCUCGCUCGAAAAGUUCUUAACCAACUCAUCCUUUGAGCAAUUUGCAUGGACUUAUUUCUUUUUGGAUGUUCCCCAAGGUUCAGCAGGUGCACUUAUUCAUGUCCAGCUAAAGUCAGAUAAAGAAUUGAAUUAUGAGCUGUACUCAAAAUAUGGUGGUCUACCAUCAAAUGAUAGUUGGGAUUAUUACGCAAGCAGGACAAGCAGCAGUAACGGUUCAGUAUUCUAUUCGCUACAGAAUUCCACGGAUUCAGACAUGGAUCUAUCUAUUUUCUAUGCCAAGGAGGGAACUUGGUGCUUCGGAGUCAAGCAUCCAAAUUAUACUUCAAAUUCUCAGACAUAUAUGUCUAUAUCUCUUCAGGGAUGCCAUAGAAAUUGUAAUCAGAAAGGUGUUUGUCAUGCUUCAGUUGAUGAAAGCGGGUUAACAUUCUACAGCUUCUGCACUUGUGAUCGUGAUCAUGGUGGGUUCGAUUGCAGUGAUGAAUUAGUUUCACCUAAUGGGCACAUCAGGCAGUCUGUCUUUCUAAUCGCAUCAAAUGCUGCAGCAAUUUUACCUGCCUUCUGGGCCCUCCGGCAAAAGGCGUUUGCCGAAUGGAUUCUUUACACGUCUAGUGGAAUUUCUAGUGCUUUGUACCAUUCAUGUGAUGUGGGCACCUGGUGCAUACUAUCUUUUCGUGUAUUACAGUUUUUGGACUUCUGGCUUUCAUUCAUGGCUGUUGUUGGUACAUUCAUAUAUAUGGCUACAAUUAAAGAAGCUUCAAAGCGAGCAAUGCAUACUGCUGUGUUUAUUCUGACAGCUAUUUUAGCUGCAACUGGUGCCACCAGAUUUGUAUGCUGCUCGUGGCGAAUUAACCUCAAUGUGCCCCAUAGAUGGCCAAACCUCGCGGCUUUGUUCUGGAAUACUCUGGAGAUGCUGAACAAGCGGUUCCGUUGGCUGUAUUUACUUUUUGGUUUCAUCACAUUAUCUUUUGCAGCUUUAAGCUGGAAGCUAGAAUCAAAUAGUAGCUAUUGGAUUUGGCACAGUAUGUGGCACAUAACUAUCUACACAUCUUCAUUCUUCUUCUUAUGUUCAAUGCGUGUCAACACUACGAAUCAUAGUCCGGAGACAACCUAUGAGUUGACAAGGCAAGAUACCUUGCCAACGACAGAGUCAAGUCAGACCUAAGGAAUAUCGGGAGAACUGUACUCCAUACCUUCUGGUGGUAAACUAGAGAUCCAUGGACAAAGGUCUUAUCUUACUACAGCGAAGAGCUUGAUACCAGAUUCUUUCUGGCAGGAUAUGCAUGUGCAAGCCUCAUUAUACCGUAAAUUUGCACGUAUAUAUAUAUAUGGCUUCCUUGCAAUUUGGGAUGUAACGCACAGUUAUUUGAGGGAUAUUGGGACUACACAUGUAAAUUGGUUGUCACCUGCAUCACAUAAUAAUUGUAGAUAGCAUGGUGCAGGGAAAACAUUGAUUAGGAACUAGGCAGAUCACUCGAUUGGGUGUCACAGCUAGUCGGAUGAUAUAGGUGGAAAACAAGUAGGGAAGGUUACCCAGGUUCAUGCACUCUCGGUGGAUGUAAAACUCUACUUCAUGCUUGAUUGUAUUGAUAGAUGGGGUGUACAAAGUACAGGGAUGAUCUUGGGGUGUGUUUGAUUGGCGAACCAAAUGCAUUGUAAUGAAAUGGUUCCAUUCCAGUGGAACGGGUCAGUUUCAUUCUAGUGUUUGGUAGUAGGCAAAAAGUACAAUGGGUUGGUUUCGCUCCUGUAUUUGGUUAAAGAGUUGUAAUGAAAAGUAGAAAGCAUAAAAUUUGAAUUUUUGUUUGUAUUUUCAAGACAAAUAAUGUAAUGUUAGCUUGUCCCAAAUUAAUUGUCUUGGAUUUGUGUAGACAUGGAUGUAUCUAACACUAUUUGUAUUUAGACAAAUUUAAGACAAUUAAUUCGGGACAAAGGGAAUAUAUACGUUGAC